rnacentral:rRNA from 1 species
UACGUAGGGUGCGAGCGUUAAUCGGAAUUACUGGGCGUAAAGUGUGCGCAGGUGGCCGCGCAAGUCGAGUGUGAAAUCCCCGAGCUUAACUUGGGAAUUGCGCUCGAAACUACGUGGCUCGAGUGUGGCAGAGGAAGGUGGAAUUCCACGUGUAGCGGUGAAAUGCGUAGAGAUGUGGAGGAACACCGAUGGCGAAGGCAGCCUUCUGGGCCAACACAGACGCUCAUGCACGAAAGCGUGGGGAGCAAGCAGG